rnacentral:rRNA from 1 species
AGAACGAACGCUGGCGGCAUGCCUAACACAUGCAAGUCGAACGUGAUCCAGGCUUCGGCCUGGUGAAAGUGGCAGACGGGUGAGUAACGCGUGGGAACCUGCCCUGUGGUAGGGAAUAACCGUGGGAAACUGCGGCUAAUACCCUAUGAGUCCUUCGGGAGAAAGAUUUAUCGCCAUAGGAGGGGCCCGCGUCGGAUUAGGUAGUUGGUGGGGUAACGGCCUACCAAGCCUUCGAUCCGUAGCUGGUCUGAGAGGAUGAUCAGCCACACUGGGACUGAGAUACGGCCCAGACUCCUACGGGAGGCAGCAGUGGGAAUAUUGGACAAUGGGGGCAACCCUGAUCCAGCAAUGCCGCGUGGAUGAUGAAGGCCUUCGGGUUGUAAAGUCCGUUUCGGCGGGGAAGAUGAUGACGGUACCCGCAGAAGAACGCCCCGGCUAACUUCGCGCCAGCAGCCGC